GGGAAUCUGCCCCCUGGUUCGGGAUAACAGUUGGAAACGGCUGCUAAUACCGGAUGAUAUCGCGAGAUCAAAGAUUUAUCGCCAGGGGAUGAGCCCGCGUCCGAUUAGCUAGUUGGUAAGGUAAAGGCUUACCAAGGCGACGAUCGGUAGCUGGUCUGAGAGGAUGAUCAGCCACACUGGGACUGAGACACGGCCCAGACUCCUACGGGAGGCAGCAGUGGGGAAUAUUGGACAAUGGGCGAAAGCCUGAUCCAGCAAUGCCGCGUGAGUGAUGAAGGCCUUAGGGUUGUAAAGCUCUUUUACCCGGGAUGAUAAUGACAGUACCGGGAGAAUAAGCUCCGGCUAACUCCGUGCCAGCAGCCGCGGUAAUACGGAGGGAGCUAGCGUUGUUCGGAAUUACUGGGCGUAAAGCGCACGUAGGCGGCUUUGUAAGUUAGAGGUGAAAGCCUGGAGCUCAACUCCAGAAUUGCCUUUAAGACUGCAUCGCUCGAAUCCAGGAGAGGUGAGUGGAAUUCCGAGU
rnacentral:rRNA from 1 species